rnacentral:rRNA from 1 species
UGAGGAAUCUUCCGCAAUGGGCGCAAGCCUGACGGAGCGACGCCGCGUGAAGGAUGAAGGCCCUUACGGGUCGUAAACUUCUGUUCUGAGGGACGAAAUUUUUUGACGGUACCUCAGGAGAAAGUAUCGGCAAACCCUGUGCCAGCAGCCGCGGUAAGACAGGGGAUACAAGCGUUACUCGGAAUUACUGGGCGUAAAGCGUCUGUAGGUGCUUUGGUAAGUCUGUGGUAAAAGCUCGGGGCUCAACCCCGAGAGCGUCAUGGAAACUACCGAAGUUGAGCAGUAGAGAGGCAUCUGGAAUGCCGCAUGUAGGAGUAAAAUCCGUAGAUAUGCGGUAGAACGCCAAAAGCGUAGGCAGGAUGCUAGCUACUUGCUGACACUGAGAGACGAAAGCGUGGGGAGCGAAGCGGAUUAGAUACCCGCGUAGUCCCUGAGCGGGCUGGCAAGGCGCAU